GAGCUCCAUGAGUCUGCACUAGAUACGGCAGGCAUGAGUUACAUUAUAUCAGCAAAAUAUCAAAACACUAUAAAACUAGAGAGCUAUGGGAACUAUCAUCUCUCGCAGUCUACAGCAGUACUUCAUGUCGGAAUGGCUCUUGAGGGCCGGUCGUGAGGAGCCAAGCCUGAGCUGUCAAUCCAGGUCGAAUUCAUCACAGUUGAGCUUUUAAAUCUAAAGCUUUUACUCUGGCUCCAGCUCCUGUUCUGAGUCUCCAGCAUCAAGUCUGUGCUAAACAUGACAUCAGUGAACAACAGCGUUUUCCUGUCUCCCCAUCAAAGCUGACGGCGGCUCAUUUCAAGUGAGGACACGAAAGGUGGAUGAUGCGUGGGUCGAGCUGGCAAACAUCAUCCGUCUG